AUGUAUCCCGCUACGCACUUUGUAUUUGUAUGAUUCUAUAUUAUUCCAUUUCUUAAUUCCUUUUGAUUCCUGAAACUGUACCUUUCUCUACAUAGAAAUCAAAUCCAACGGCAUAUUCCUAUAAAUCCACUGCAGAGAUGCCAAGAUCUUAUCACUGUCUCCGUUCUCAACCAAACCCAUGAUCAAAACUCAGUUCUCUCUCUACUCGAAGCAGAGAGAUAGAGCCAUGCACAAGUACUGUAAGCUAUGGAGGAUCACUUCACUGGUUUUGUUCAUGGUAAUAAAUAUGGUGGUGGGUAGUGAUCAGGCUCAUCACAUACCCACAACUCUAGAAGGCCCAUUUAAGCCUGCAACUCGGCGCUUCGACCCAUCACUCCGAACAGGCAGCGAUGACUUGCCCAUGGACCAUCCCAGGCUCAAAAGGAAUGUCACCCUCAAUUUCCCUGAACAAAUAUCUCUUGCAAUAUCUUCACCUACUGCAAUGUGGGUUUCUUGGGUUACUGGCGAUGCCCAGAUUGGGAAAAAUGUGACACCACUUGAUCCUUCAAAGGUUGGGAGUGAGGUGUGGUAUGGCAAAAAGAGUGGCAAGUAUGAUAGUGUCAAGAGAGGGGUUGCUGUGGUUUACAGUCAAUUGUACCCAUUUCAAGGCCUCUUGAAUUACACUUCUGGCAUCAUUCAUCAUGUCAGGAUUGAUGGUCUUAAACCAGGAACAAAAUAUUAUUACAAGUGUGGGGAUAGCUCUAUCCCUGCCAUGAGUGAAGAGCAGGCCUUUGAAACUUUACCAUUGCCUAGGCCAAACACAUAUCCUCGUCGAAUAGCUGUUAUUGGAGAUUUAGGUCUCACAAGCAAUACCACUGCAACUGUUGACCAUUUGAUUCAGAAUGAUCCUUCAAUGAUUGUAAUGGUUGGAGACUUAAGUUAUGCAAAUCAGUACCUUACAACUGGUGGUAAAGGAGCUUCAUGCUUUUCAUGUGCAUUCCCAGAUGCACCUAUCAGAGAAACAUACCAACCCCGCUGGGAUGGGUGGGGAAGAUUCAUGCAGCCAUUAACCUCACGAGUUCCAAUGAUGGUUAUUGAGGGAAACCAUGAGAUUGAACCCCAAGUUGCUGGAAUCACUUUCUCAUCCUAUUUGGCAAGGUUUGCAGUUCCAUCCAAGGAAUCUGGCUCUAAAACCAACUUCUACUACUCUUUUGAUGCUGGAGGAGUGCAUUUCAUCAUGUUGGGAGCAUAUGUUGAUUACAAUGCAACAGGUUCACAGUAUGCUUGGCUUAAAGAUGAUCUAAACCGAGUAGACCGGUCGGUGACCCCAUGGCUGGUAGCUGCAUGGCAUUCACCUUGGUAUAAUAGCUACUCUUCUCAUUAUCAGGAAUUCGAGUGCAUGAGACAGGAAAUGGAAGAACUUCUUUAUCAAUAUGGUGUUGAUAUUGUUUUCUCCGGUCAUGUGCAUGCUUAUGAGCGGAUGAAUAGAGUAUAUAACUAUACGUUAGAUCCAUGUGGACCUGUUUAUAUAACAGUUGGAGAUGGUGGCAAUAUUGAGAAAGUUGAUGUUGAUUUUGCUGAUGACCCUGGAAAGUGUCCUUCAGCUGGAGACAACAUACCUGAAUUUGGAGGGGUAUGUCAUCUGAACUUUUCUUCUGGGCCUGCUAAAGGGAAGUUUUGUUGGAAUGAACAGCCAGAGUGGAGUGCUUUUAGAGAAAGCAGCUUUGGUCAUGGAAUACUUGAGGUUUUGAAUUCUACAUAUGCUCUAUGGACUUGGCACAGGAAUCAAGAUAUUUAUAAGGAGGAAGAUAGCCACAGCGAUCAAAUCUACAUUGUUCGACAACCUGAAUUGUGCACUCCAGAUUUAAAUCCGUCAGUGGUGCAGUCACUGCCCUCAAUCUCUGCUCCUGCAUCCCACUCUCUGGUGCUUGCUCUCUCCCUGCCACUCUUGGGGAUAUUCUCAGUCUUCUCCUAUUCCAAGUAGUCUCUUCUGCUCUGCAACUGUGCCUCUGUGCUUCUUCAGCUCACCUGUGAAAUAUUAAUACUAUGUGCAGAAGCUUAUUUGAUUUUCGUCCAACUUACGGGUUAUUUACUCCAAAGAUUUAAUCAUGUUAUGUUUGUGUAUCCAUUGUUUUGAUCGAUAUGUAGAAACAUAAUAUGAUAUUAAGUUUCAUUGUUGGGUUUUUGAUAUAAUUAAUGUGAUCCGUA